UACGGAGGAUGCAAGCGUUAUCCGGAAUAAUUGGGCGUAAAGCGUUCGUAGGUGGUGAUGUAAGCCUGCUGUUAAAGCGUGUAGCUUAACUACAUAUAGGCGGUGGAAACUACAUGACUAGAGUGCGUUCGGGGCAGAGGGAAUUCCUGGCGUAGCGGUGAAAUGCGUAGAUAUCAGGAAGAACACCGGUGGCGAAGGCGCUCUGCUAGGCCGUAACUGACACUGAGGGAAGAAAGCUAGGGGAGCGAAUGGG
rnacentral:rRNA from 1 species